AGAGUUUGAUCCUGGCUCAGAUUGAACGCUGGCGGCAGGCCUAACACAUGCAAGUCGAGCGGUAGCACAGAGAGCUUGCUCUCGGGUGACGAGCGGCGGACGGGUGAGUAAUGUCUGGGAAACUGCCCGAUGGAGGGGGAUAACUACUGGAAACGGUAGCUAAUACCGCAUAACGUCGCAAGACCAAAGAGGGGGACCUUCGGGCCUCUUGCCAUCGGAUGUGCCCAGAUGGGAUUAGCUAGUAGGUGGGGUAACGGCUCACCUAGGCGACGAUCCCUAGCUGGUCUGAGAGGAUGACCAGCCACACUGGAACUGAGACACGGUCCAGACUCCUACGGGAGGCAGCAGUGGGGAAUAUUGCACAAUGGGCGCAAGCCUGAUGCAGCCAUGCCGCGUGUAUGAAGAAGGCCUUCGGGUUGUAAAGUACUUUCAGCGGGGAGGAAGGUGUUGAGGUUAAUAACCUCAGCAAUUGACGUUACCCGCAGAAGAAGCACCGGCUAACUCCGUGCCAGCAGCCGCGGUAAUACGGAGGGUGCAAGCGUUAAUCGGAAUUACUGGGCGUAAAGCGCACGCAGGCGGUCUGUCAAGUCGGAUGUGAAAUCCCCGGGCUCAACCUGGGAACUGCAUUCGAAACUGGCAGGCUUGAGUCUCGUAGAGGGGGGUAGAAUUCCAGGCGUAGCGGUGAAAUGCGUAGAGAUCUGGAGGAAUACCGGUGGCGAAGGCGGCCCCCUGGACGAAGACUGACGCUCAGGUGCGAAAGCGUGGGGAGCAAACAGGAUUAGAUACCCUGGUAGUCCACGCCGUAAACGAUGUCUAUUUGGAGGUUGUGCCCUUGAGGCGUGGCUUCCGGAGCUAACGCGUUAAAUAGACCGCCUGGGGAGUACGGCCGCAAGGUUAAAACUCAAAUGAAUUGACGGGGGCCCGCACAAGCGGUGGAGCAUGUGGUUUAAUUCGAUGCAACGCGAAGAACCUUACCUACUCUUGACAUCCAGAGAACUUUCCAGAGAUGGAUUGGUGCCUUCGGGAACUCUGAGACAGGUGCUGCAUGGCUGUCGUCAGCUCGUGUUGUGAAAUGUUGGGUUAAGUCCCGCAACGAGCGCAACCCUUAUCCUUUGUUGCCAGCGGUUAGGCCGGGAACUCAAAGGAGACUGCCAGUGAUAAACUGGAGGAAGGUGGGGAUGACGUCAAGUCAUCAUGGCCCUUACGAGUAGGGCUACACACGUGCUACAAUGGCGUAUACAAAGAGAAGCGACCUCGCGAGAGCAAGCGGACCUCAUAAAGUACGUCGUAGUCCGGAUUGGAGUCUGCAACUCGACUCCAUGAAGUCGGAAUCGCUAGUAAUCGUGGAUCAGAAUGCUACGGUGAAUACGUUCCCGGGCCUUGUACACACCGCCCGUCACACCAUGGGAGUGGGUUGCAAAAGAAGUAGGUAGCUUAACCUUCGGGAGGGCGCUUACCACUUUGUGAUUCAUGACUGGGGUGAAGUCGUAACAAGGUAACCGUA
rnacentral:rRNA from 1 species